rnacentral:rRNA from 1 species
GAUGAACGCUGGCGGUAUGCUUAACACAUGCAAGUCGAACGGUCACUUCGGUGAUAGUGGCGGACGGGUGAGUAACGCGUGAGAAUCUGUCUUCAGGUCGGGGACAACAGUUAGAAAUGACUGCUAAUACCGGAUGUGCCUUUGGGUGAAAGAUUUAUUGCCUGAAAAAGAGCUCGCGUCAGAUUAGCUAGUAGGUGGUGUAAGAGACUACCUAGGCUCCGAUCUGUAGCUGGUCUGAGAGGACGAUCAGCCACACUGGAACUGAGACACGGUCCAGAUUCCUACGGGAGGCAGCAGUGGGGAAUUUUCCGCAAUGGGCGAAAGCCUGACGGAGCAAUACCGCGUGAGGGACGAAGGCUUUUGGGUCGUAAACCUCUUUUCUCAAGGAAGAUGAUGACGGUACCUGAGGAAUAAGCAUCGGCUAACUCUGUG